CAUUAGCAUCAUCCCUUUGGUUUCCUUAGCAACUGAGACAAUCAAUUCUAUGAUAGUUUUAUCUGCACAGAAAAGCACCAGCUGCCAGAGUUAUGGACAGAAGUACAUAAAGCAGGAAUCUAUUCUGAAAUGGGAAGGUGGCUCCUGUUUCUGAGAAGACGAGCAGGGUUUUUAAGAAGUUGGCAUUUGCACUAGACCAGAGGGGAAAAAAGACAACAGUCAGAUCAGUUCUGCUGGCCAUGACACAAAGUGGAAAUGGGUGUCCCUAAUUAUGGAAUUCAAAGAAUCCAAGUUCUCCACAGCAGCUGCUUUCACAAACUCAAGAUGUGAAGAUUUAAGGACUGUACCAUCUGGAGUGAUCUUCAGUCUCAGCCAUUUCUUUAGCUCCAACUCUUUAGUUCAUUCUUGGAGCUCCAGAAGUGCAGAGCACUUGGACUGUGGGACUUCUGUGCCUCUGUCAAUGAUCACAUACAGAUGGUAUGAAAACACAGAGAUCCAGCGGGUUCCCAUGGCAUUGAGACAAAAUUACGUGGAGUGGAGAAUUCCUUCUGAGAGACUAAAAAACAUGGAGAUGUUAUGGAUGAACGAGGCCAGACUUUCUUCAGAGGAAAAGGCUCUUGUUUAUUUAAAAAGAGCUACAGGAGAUGGAAGGCCUGAGAUAGGCUCAGACCCCCAUGCAACAAGUAAAAAAACCCAAAAACAGUGUGUCUACCCCACAUGCACACUGGGUUCUCCAGGAAGCAUUCCUGUUUUGAGGAACUCAAGUUCCCCAAAAGAGCUCCAAACUCCACCGAACUCCCAUUUUUACAACGCCCUUUGGGUCCAGGAUUGGUGA
rnacentral:lncRNA from 1 species